rnacentral:rRNA from 1 species
AAUUGACGGGGCCCGGCACAAGCGGUGGAGCAUGUGGUUAAUUCGAAGCAACGCGAAGAACCUUACCAGGUCUUGACAUCCCGAUGCUAUUCUAGAGAUAGAAAGUUACUUCGGUACAUCGGUGACAGGUGGUGCAUGGUUGUCGUCAGCUCGUGUCGUGAGAUGUUGGGUUAAGUCCCGCAACGAGCGCAACCCCUAUUGUUAGUUGCCAUCAUUCAGUUGGGCACUCUAGCGAGACUGCCGGUAAUAAACCGGAGGAAGGUGGGAUGACGUCAAAUCAUCAUGCCCCUUAUGACCUGGGCUACACACGUGCUACAAUGGUUGGUACAACGAGUUGCGAGUCGGUGACGGCGAGCUAAUCUCUUAAAGCCAAUCUCAGUUCGGAUUGUAGGCUGCAACUCGCCUACAUGAAGUCGGAAUCGCUAGUAAUCGCGGAUCAGCACGCCGCGGUGAAUACGUUCCCGGGCCUU